rnacentral:rRNA from 1 species
GAUGAACGCUGGCGGCGUGCCUAAUACAUGCAAGUCGAGCGAACGGACGAGAAGCUUGCUUCUCUGAUGUUAGCGGCGGACGGGUGAGUAACACGUGGAUAACCUACCUAUAAGACUGGGAUAACUUCGGGAAACCGGAGCUAAUACCGGAUAAUACUUUGAACCGCAUGGUUCAAAAGUGAAAGACGGUCUUGCUGUCACUUAUAGAUGGAUCCGCGCUGCAUUAGCUAGUUGGUAAGGUAACGGCUUACCAAGGCAACGAUGCAUAGCCGACCUGAGAGGGUGAUCGGCCACACUGGAACUGAGACACGGUCCAGACUCCUACGGGAGGCAGCAGUAGGGAAUCUUCCGCAAUGGGCGAAAGCCUGACGGAGCAACGCCGCGUGAGUGAUGAAGGUCUUCGGAUCGUAAAGCUCUGUUAUUAGGGAAGAACAGAUGUGUAAGUAACUGUGCACAUCUUGACGGUACCUAAUCAGAAAGCCACGGCUAACUACGUG